rnacentral:pre_miRNA from 1 species
AUCUUGGCGAACUAGGGAGAUGGUUUUCGCUAUGCUCCACCUCAUAUUUGACUGAAAUAGAAUUUUGUUCUUCCAUGAUGUAAUUUAGUCAAAUAAGAGGAGACGAGACAUAGUGAAAACCAUAUUCCUAGCUCGCCAUGGCAGG